rnacentral:lncRNA from 1 species
UUUUUUUUUUUUUGAGAUGUAGUCUCGCUGCAUCACCCAGGCUGGAGUGCAGUGGCGUGAUCUCAGCUCACUGCAACCUCCGCCUCCCAGGUUCAAACUAUUCUCCUGUCUCGGCCUCCUAAUUAGCUGGCAUUAUAGGCACCUGCCACCAGGCCCAGUUAAUCUUUGUAUUUUUAGUAGAGACAGGGUUUCACCAUGUUGGCCAGGCUGGUCUCGAACUCCUGACCUCAGGUGAUCCACCCGCCUUGGCCUCCCAAAGUGCUGAGAUUACCAGCAUGAGCCACCAUGCCAGGCCACUACAUUUACUUUUAAUGUCUUCUUGGUCUCCUUGAGUCUGUUUCUUAGAUAACUGAAAUUUUAAUUGAGAUAACAGCAGAUUCACAUGUAGUUAUAAGAAGAAAUACAGACAGAUUUCUUGUAUACUUUGACGAGUUUCCCCAAAUGGCAACAUUUUUUAAAAUUACAGUACAAUAUCACAACCAGAAUAUUGGCAUUAAUAAGUCAACUGCAUUCAGGUUUCUACAGUUUUACUAGUACUCAUUAGUGUGUGUGCGAGUGUAUGUGUAUGUGUCAGUGUGUCAAGUCUAUACAAUUCUGUCACCUGUAUAGAUUCAAGGAUCUACCUUCACAGUCAAGAUACUGAACAGUUUCAACACUAUAAGGAUUCCCUGUGUUGCCCUUUUACAAUCAGCAUACCUCCUAUCCCUGUGUCCUUAAUGUAGCAUUUUAUCAUUAUGCCCAUCUUUGUCUCUGGUAAUUGUCUUUGCUCUGAAGUCUAAUUUAUCAAAUAUUAAUACAGCCAUUUCUGUUUUUUUAUUAAAUCAAAGUUUGCAUGGUAUAAUUUUGCAUCCUUUUCUGUCUACCUACAUUAUUCAAUUUGAAGUGACUUUCCUAUAAGCAGUAUAUAGUUGGGUCAUGUUUCUUCAUCCACUCUACCAGUCUCUGUCUUUUGAUUGGUAUAUUUAGUCCAUCUAUAUUUAAGGUAAUUAUUAAUACAUCAAGGCUUAAGUUCUUGAUCUUUUGUUCUCCUCUUCUUGCCUUCCUAUAGGUCACUUGAACAUUUCUUAGAGUCCUAUAUUAGGGUUCUCCAGAGAAACAGAACAAACUGGAUAUACAAGGGAGGAUUUAUUAGGGAAACUGGCUCACACAAUUACAGGAGCUGAGAAGUCCCACGAUAGGCUGUCUGCAAGCUGGAGAGCCAGGGAAGCCGAUGGCGCAGUGCAGGACAAGCCCAAAGCCUGAGAACCAAGGGAGCUGAUGGUAUAACUCAGUCUGAGGCCAAAGGCCCAAGAACCUGGGAGGCUGCUUGUGCUAGUCUUGAAGUCUUGAUGGCCAGAGAGCCUGGAGUUCUGAAGUCCAAGGAGAGGAGAAGACAGGUGUCCCAGCUCCAGAAGAGAAAUGAGAUUUGCCUUUUUGUUCUAUCUACGCCCUCAAACAACUGGAUGGUGGCCACCCACAUUAGGCAGGGGUAAUCUUUACUCUCAGUUCACUGAUUCCAGUGCCAACCUCUUCUGGAAACACCCUCACAGACACACACAGAGAGAAUACUUUACCAGUUAUCUAAGUCCCCCUUAACCCAGUCAAGUUGAUACCUAAAAUUAAUCAUCACAGAUUCCAGCUUGAUUUGUUUAUAUUUUUUUGAGUUUAUAUUUUUGUAUAGCUUUUAAGUGAUUACUUCAAUUACUACAAUAUAAACAUGCGACUUAUAAUAAUCUGCUUAUUAGUAACAACAUUUUACCACUCUGAACAAAGUAUGGAAACCUCACUUCCAUUUAAGUCCUUUAUCUUGAUUUAAAC